CUCACAGCGAAAGAGGAGUAAGGCUGGUGAGGCUCGGUCAAGGAGUGAGAGGAGCAGCUUUCUGUUCUGUUCUUUUUCUUUCUUUCUUUCUUUUUUUUUUUUUUAAUUUAUUUAUUUGGAAAGACUUACAGAGAGAGAAGGAGAGAGAGCGAGAGAGCUUCCAACUGCUGGUUCACUCCCCAGAUAGCCACAACAGCCAAGGCUGGGCCAGGCCGAAGCCAGGAGCCAGGAGCUUCAUCCAGAUCUCCCACAUGGGUGGCAGGGGCUCAAGCACUUGGGCCCUCCUCCACUGCUUUCCCAGGCUAUGAGCAGGGAGCUGGGUUGGAAGUGGAGCAGCCGGGACAUGAACUGGCACCCACAUGGGAUGCCAGCGUCACAGUCGGUGGCUUUACCCGCCACACCACAGCGCUGGCCCCAAGGAGCAGCUUUCAACAUUAAUUUUCUUCUCCUAAUAUUAGACUUUGAUUAGAGGUUGAGAGCUUUUUUUCAUUAAGAACUUUGCAGUGUCCAUUUCCAAAUCACAGCUAGUUAAUAAGAUUUCUAUUUUAUCAAGCAUUGAAAAUGCUGUUUCAAAAAGCUAGCUAGCUGUGUUGCCAUGCGGGGAGGUCUAUUUUAUUCACGGAUUCUUAGGAAGCUGAAAAGUAGCAGCAGGAGCCACAGUGAUGAGGAGAAAUUGUGUGCUGUGUCAAGUGAAUGAAGAUGAACCAGGCACUUCAUGAGCAUUACCUUUUUAAGAACAUAUUAUUUAUUUUGAAACACAGAGCAAUAGAGAGAGAGAAAGACAGACAGACAGACAGCACUUCUAUUUGCUGAUCCACUCCCCAAAUAGUGCAAUGGCCAGGUUUGAGCCAGGCAGAAGCCAGGAUUCUAAUCAGGUCUCCCAUGGGACUGGCAGGGGCCCCAACACGUGAGCCAUCUUCUGCCGUGUUUCAGGCACAUUAUCAGGGAGCCGGAUUGGAAGCAAGCAGCUGGGACUCGAACCCAUGCUCCGGCAGACGCUGGCAUUGCACGUGGCAUCCUAACCCACUGAGACACAGCGCUGGCACCUCUGUCCAUCAUGCUUCAGCCUCCAAGCAGCCAUGCAAGGGUGAGCUCUGUUCUUGCCUGCAUUUUACAGAGGAACAGAGCAGUUGUCCAAGGCAGUUGGUGGACUUGUGAGAGACCGGAAAGAGAGGCCAGACACAGUGUUGCUCCUGCCCCAGCCAGAAGUAGAAUGGGAGCCCCCUCUUUCUAGGGUUGGGUCUCUGGAGAUGGGGCUCUGUGCCUUUUCUCAUUCUCUGUUUUCUAUUUUCCUCUAUUCCUGUCUUUUUUGCUUGCAACAGAAACGUUUAUUUAUAAAUAGCUACUAAUUGACCAGUGCCCCCUCACUGUCAAGGAUUGUUGAACACAACUUGGCCCAGGCCUCCAAGGGGUCUCACUCCAGUGGGAGAGGCAGACAGGGACUGUGGAGUCGGUGCUGAGUGGGGAGAGGGAUGAACAGAGCAGCUGGGGAUGGCACAGGGGGAAAAGCAAUGAGGAGGAGGCGAGGAACAGCCCAAGAGACGGCAGUGGGGCAGGAUCACGAAGAAUCCAGACUCAGCAAGUACUGGGGGCUGAGCUGUGCCCCUCCCAAGUUUGUACGCUGAAGCCCUGACCACCAGGGUGAUGUCUUGGAAGACGAGAACUUUGGGAAGUGCUUAGGGGAAGUCCUGAGAGGGGCUUCCAUGAUGGAACUGGUGGCCUCCUCAGAAGAAUGAGAGACCCUCUGUGUCCACUGUGUUAGGGCACGGUGAGACCAGGUCAGGAAGGGAACCCUCACCGGGGACCAAACAGGCCAGCACGUUGAUCAUGAAUGUCCUAGCCUGCAGAAUGAUGACAAAUGGACAUCUGUCCCCAGAGCCACCCAGCAAGUGGUAUUUGUUACAGCGGCCCCAGCAGACCUAAGACCUUGGGCAAACGAGAGAAAGGCACACCUGGUGCAGAGAGGCGAAGCGGAGUCGCAGAUGCUGGGAUGUUCAGGACUCUGCAGGUGUGGCAGGUCCUCCACUUGGACUGAACGCUCAGGGCUGUUUGGAAACCCUCGAGUGAGCUGUCCUUGGCGUGUUCCAAUCCCUGAUUCUGCUGGGGAGCAAGUUUUCAGCUGUUGCGACGAAUGUUGAUGAACUUGGUCCAGCACGCCCAAGUGCUUGCUCAGAGCUCACCAGGCACCUGAACCGUUGGGGCGAGGGCCCCUAAACUGGUAGGGUUAGAGAUGCCAAUAACGAAGAGCAGGCACAGCCUGAGCAGGUUACGGUGGAAAAUAAAACCCGUUCUUAUCUGGG